ensembl:lncRNA
AAGAGUGCAAAACAGACACACUGAUGGCACUAAUCAGCCUUCAAAUAUUGGAUUUUAAAGGCAUUUGCUGCAUUUGAAACCACAUACUUCCCUUCUGUAUAGCAGGCAAAAAGCAAUAGGCUAAUGAAUAAGUAUGUCUGAAUCCUUAGUAUUCAUAUGAGAGUAGGGGAGAAUUACCGGGGUGGUGUACUAAUUCUCGUGAGAUUCUGACAUAUGUAAACUUAAGUUGCAUUUGAAUAUACCUACUUGCCUACUGAAUAGUAGGAGAAAAUAGUAUUUGAAGAGAGUAUUGCAUUGCAUUUUAAAUUUAAUUUUUGCUACCUAUAUGUGUCCAUACAAAACCUCAGUAUUCCUAAAAAUCCCCUGAUAUCUGACUGCUUCAGACCAGAUACUGAAGCGUGCAUCUGAUGGACACUUUUUUUUAUCCCAGGAGGCCAUGGGAGAGGAUGUGUCAUCAUCGAACUGUCUAUUUAACAUCUGACAGGAAAAAUGUUCAAUGAGAAUUGCAGAUGAGCGCAUCCAAUAGACAUGAAAUAGACAUCUUGAAUGAGUGAUGUAUGUGUGCUAUUAUGUAGAAUGUUGUCAACACUGCUUUAGAUAAUUGUAAGUAAUGUACUGUUAAUAAACAGUCUUGUCUGGAUGUUACAGGGACAGAUGAGACACAAUGUACUUAUCCAGUGCAGAGUGACUGAUGAAGGAAUGCUGCUAUCAAAGGCUUUGAAGUUAUUACAGCACUGUUCAUGUGCUGCAGAGCUUUUGUGGUGGAGCAGGGCCUGCAAUGCAAGGUGACGGCGGCAUUUGUGGGAAAAAGGGACAACCUGAAACAAAAAAUAUAAAGUAAGAUAAUUGUGUUAAUUCUACUACAGAAAUCAAAUUACAUUGUGCUGUUAAAAUGACUGCUUUUGUAUUAUGUUUGUGCAUUUUUGUAGGAACACACAGCAGCAUCCUGGAAAUGGUAGUGCUAUAAAAGAGACCUUCCAUCACUCCAACUGCCCUUGAUGCCUCAUUUCGGCCAGAUGUUGCUGUGGUCUCUUCAUCCUCAGUAAGCCCAGAUUCAAGGUUGUGGGGUUCAGGGGCCCGUCAUCAAAGUCUUCCUCAUCCUCUCUGUGCACUUAGGCAAGGACAGCCUCGAUGUCCCUUUCCCAUCCAUGAUCAGAUUCCAGUAUGACUGCAGCAUUUAGGGACAUGAUAAACUGCAAAAACAGGUGAAGGUGGACACGGUGGUGAGCUGCACAAUUGGCACAGCUAACAUGAGUUAGUAUGUGGGAUGCAAAUAUGUGAUCAUUAAAACAAUAAGUUUGAAUAAAGCUUUAUUUCAAUUGUUGAUGAAUAUAUAUAUAUAUAUAUAUAUAUAUAUGUGUGUGUGUGUGUAUGUAUUGUGAUGGUUACUUCUAUGCAUUCUUUUACUCAUUUACUCAUGUUUCCUGUUGUUGUCAGUGAAUAAAAUAUAAUUAUUUCAUUAACUAAUGCAUUAAUUCAUUGCUUGACUGAAAAUUGAGAUAUUCACCUUGGCUGCAUUUGUCUAGUGUGUAUUCAUGCAUAGCUAUGGCAUAUAACGAAACAAAUUACAUUUAUCUUUUUUUACGAAACAUAAUUUUUUUAGUUAAAAUAUAAUAUACAAUAUUAAUAUAAUGCAUAAUAAAUAAUUCAU